rnacentral:ncRNA from 1 species
AAAAAACUGAUGACAAAGGAUGAGUACUUGAUACCAUUGUGGCAUAGCGAUUUCUGGAUGGUGGAAGCAGAAAGCAUAAGGUAACAGGGAAUGCCCCUUUGAGGGAUUUUUCGAUAAGUAGAAAAAUACGUGACACGGCGUUAUACGUGAAGAGUGGAAAAGCAUAUUUCAAGCAAAGUGGAACCGCGUCUAAGAUAGGCGUCUUUGCA